rnacentral:lncRNA from 1 species
AGCCCAAGCCCAGAAGCCUAAUUACCUGCUGAAACUAAUUGAUCCCAUCUGAGCCUCCUGCUGGAACUCCCCACAAAGGGCAUGAAAAUGAGAUGGGUCAGGAAAGUUGCAGGCCAGAACCAGGAGCCGGGAAAAGCAAGACGUGCUCACAGAAGCCAUGCACGGGAAAGAGCUUAUUAAGUAACUUCUCUUUGAGCUGCUCCUCACUGAGCCAGCCAGAGAGACAGAAGCCUGCUUCCUCUGAAGGUGCCUGGAAUGACUCGCAAAUUUCAUUGAAAGUGGCAGGAGGGAAGCAGGCUCUGGAUAAAAUGAUGAAUGCACACAAACUUUAAUCUCAAUCAAGGCGCUCUACAAGGGGACCAUGGUGACAACACUCAGAGAAGCUGACACCAAGGAGAACAACGCCCAACUUUAGAAUGGGAGCCCACCUCACCUCCUCCCCUGGGCUGCUGCAGAGAAGUUUUGUCAGAAGGCCCACAUCUGCACCUGAGUGUUGGCAGCAUCCGAGGGUCACAGUCUGUAUCCCCAGGGAACAUGUUGAAUUGUAGCAGUUUUUCUUAGCACCUGCGCCAGCUCACCACUCCACUUCCCUGCUUCUCUUUUGGGCUCCAGUCUCCUGGAAACCCCUCUCUGUGUGUGAAGGAGCUGCAGAAGAAGAAAUGGGUCCUCCUGCAGAAUGAGCUCCCAAACACAGCACCGCUCGACCAAGGCAAUGGCUACCAGGGAUGCUGUGAUACUCCCAUAAUCCUGACGAGUCAACCACUAUGGCCUUAAUGGCUCUGUCUUCCAUUGGCUC